UUGACCUCGGAUCAGGUAGGAAUACCCGCUGAACUUAAGCAUAUCAAUAAGCGGAGGAAAAGAAACCAACAGGGAUUGCCUCAGUAACGGCGAGUGAAGCGGCAACAGCUCAAAUUUGAAAUCUGGCCCCAGGCCCGAGUUGUAAUUUGCAGAGGAUGCUUUGGGCGCGGUGCCUUCCGAGUUCCCUGGAACGGGACGCCAUAGAGGGUGAGAGCCCCGUACGGUCGGACGCCUAGCCUGUGUAAAGCUCCUUCGACGAGUCGAGUAGUUUGGGAAUGCUGCUCAAAAUGGGAGGUAUAUUUCUUCUAAAGCUAAAUACCGGCCAGAGACCGAUAGCGCACAAGUAGAGUGAUCGAAAGAUGAAAAGCACUUUGAAAAGAGGGUUAAACAGCACGUGAAAUUGUUAAAGGGGAAGCGCUUGUGACCAGACUUGCGUCCGGUGAAUCAUCCAGCCUUCUGGCUGGUGCACUUCGCCGGCUCAGGCCAGCAUCAGCUCGCUGUCGGGGACAAAAGCUUCGGGAACGUAGCUCCUCUCGGGGAGUGUUAUAGCCCGUUGCACAAUACCCUUCGGUGGGCUGAGGUACGCGCUCCGCAAGGAUGCUGGCGUAAUGGUCAUCAGCGACCCGUCUUGAAACACGGACCAAGGAGUCAACCUUAUGUGCGAGUGUUUGGGUGUUAAACCCCUACGCGUAAUGAAAGUGAACGCAGGUGAGAGCUUCGGCGCAUCAUCGACCGAUCCUGAUGUUCUCGGAUGGAUUUGAGUAAGAGCAUAUAGGGUUGGACCCGAAAGAAGGUGAACUAUGCGUGUAUAGGGUGAAGCCAGAGGAAACUCUGGUGGAGGCUCGCAGCGGUUCUGACGUGCAAAUCGAUCGUCAAAUAUGCGCAUGGGGGCGAAAGACUAAUCGAACCUUCUAGUAGCUGGUUUCCGCCGAAGUUUCCCUCAGGAUAGCAGUGUUGAGCUCAGUUUUAUGAGGUAAAGCGAAUGAUUAGGGACUCGGGGGCGCUAUAUUGCCUUCAUCCAUUCUCAAACUUUAAAUAUGUAAGAAGCCCUUGUUACUUAAUUGAACGUGGGCAUUCGAAUGUAUCAACACUAGUGGGCCAUUUUUGGUAAGCAGAACUGGCGAUGCGGGAUGAACCGAACGCGAGGUUAAGGUGCCAGAGUAGACGCUCAUCAGACACCA
rnacentral:rRNA from 1 species